UACAGAGGGUGCGAGCGUUGUCCGGAAUCACUGGGCGUAAAGGGCGCGUAGGUGGUGGCUUAAGCGUGCGGUGAAAGCUCGGAGCUCAACCCCGAGUCGGCCGUGCGAACUGGGCUCACUGGAGCAUAGUAGAGGCAGGUGGAAUUCCGGGUGUAGCGGUGGAAUGCGUAGGGAUCCGGAAGAACACCGGUGGCGAAGGCGGCCUGCUGGGCUAUGGCUGACACUGAGGCGCGACAGCGUGGGGAGCAAACAGG
rnacentral:rRNA from 1 species